ACCAAAAACUUUACACCGUUUGUUUUUCCGGGCUCACAAACAACCCAGUUGGUUUUCAGUCAAACCAACCAAAAACUUUUUCCUUGCUGAAUAUUCUCGAUUCAGCAACUUCCAAUCGAGGCUUGGAAGAGCCUUUACAAGUUUCAGAUCAAUGAAACUGUUACAGCAGCAAUUAAUCCAACUAAAGAAUGUUGUAACUAGAAAACUUAAAGCUUCAGAGCAUAUAAAGAAUAAAUCAAUGAAAGUAAAAGCUGAAGCCGAUGAAAAAGUUGGUUGUGGAAGGAUGUCCCAAUGUCCGAACAGCAGCUCUUCACGAUGCAGUGAGAAACUUCGACUGAUCUCCUUACAAGAGAAAGUUUCAGAUUACAAUGCUGGUGAGGAUGAUGAACUGUUAAGCUUUUCUUCUCUUUUUCUCAGUGGAAACCUUUUGUUUUCAAUAGAAUCUUUUUUCUUUCCUUUCUUUUUUUCAUUCUGAGGUUCCCUCAUAUUUAUAGACAGAUUCUUCGGCGGGAUUUGAAUUCCUUUCUUUCCGUUCUGAUGAGAAUCUUUUUCUGUUACAGAAGAAGACAAAAACCGUUUACAGCUUCUCGUUGUGAUCCCAGCAAUACAAAGGUCGACUCAUAUAACUCAGGGGUCGACUCAUGUUCUUUCUGGAUCGGCACUUCAAAAUAUGGAGAAAGCUUUUGCUGUGUCAUCUUCAAAGGGUCGACUCUUAAUUCUUAAGGGUUGCCUCAUCUUCAUCAGGAGUCGCCUCUUUAAAUACAAGGAUCGACUCAUCGUCUUCAGGAGUCACCUCUUUAAAUGCAAGAGUCGACUCAUACCAUAAUUUUCUGGCUGUCGCUUAAACUGAGCUGGGGUCGACUCUUCAAACGCAAGGGUCGACUCUUCAAUUUCGGGGGUCGACUCAUUUUGAACAAGGGUCGACUCUUCAAGCUUCUCUCAGGCGGUAAAAGCUUUCUGUUUACUUUAAACUACACAAGAGUCGACUCAUGUUUUGCGGGGGUCGACUCAUUGAUUGUGUUUUUUGAAUAAAACUUAUCAAAAUCAACUUAAACUUGUCCUUUUUGCUUAGGGGUUGAUACAAGUUUUUCAAACAGAAAACUUUAGACUUCAUCUCUGAUCUCCAUGGAUUAGAUUAUGAUCAUUUUCUUUUGGAACAUGUCCAAUGAGAUGUUUGCGAAGAACUUAUGAUUUUGUAGUGCUUCAUUCCUUCUGAUUUUUUUGACUUAGAAAUCUUCACAAUUAGGCCAAUGUCAUUAGUACACAACAUGAUCUCAAGUGUUUUGUAAUCAUCAAAAUUCAUCCUUUAGGGUUGACAAUCUCCCCCUUUUUGAUGAUGACAAAACCAUUGAGUUAAAAAGAAUUUUGCAAUAAAUUUCACAGCAAUUAUCAGAAUUUUAUAAUGAAGUUCAGAGCAAAUAUGACAUUCAGAGAUAUAUGCAUAAUUUCCCCCUAUCAAUUAUAAACAUUUGAAUUAUGCAGAGUUCUUGUUCUUCAUCUUUUCUUAAGUUUUGUUUGCCAUCAUAAUUUAAAGCUCCCCCUAUAUAUUAUCUUUAAUGUAGAGAUUAGUAUUCUGAAUUAUUUUCAUAUUUUUUAUUUCUCAGAUUAAAGUUCUUUAUCAUAUAUUUCUUCCGAUUUGUAUUCUGAAUUCUUUUCACAUUUCUUAUUUCUCAGUUUAGAAUUCUUUUUCAUAUAUUUCUCCCUCUUUUUGUCAUCAAUAAAAGGAAGGAAACUUAAAAAUAAUAUCUGACACCAACAUUAAGGAUUUUGAUACCAUUACAGAUUUUGAUAGGUAUCAGAGCAGUGUAUAAACUAAUAAAGACAUAUACUUCAAGAAAGAUAAUCAUUCAUUAUGAAGUACAUUUGAUAAAUCAGAAGAUUACAAUUUGUAUCAAUUGGUAUCAGUCAGCAUACAAGUGUGCCAAAUAAACAUAAAACUCAGCUUAGUACAAGAUUAUGCUUUGAGAACAUGGGUUUCAGUCUAAGCUUAGGUUAGGUUCAGUCUAGGGUCAGUCUAGGUUCAAGAUUUUGAAGAUGAAGGUCCAGACUGAUCUUCCUUUGGCUCUUCCAUCAGCUUGUCAAUUUUACUGUUUAGUGCAGUGAUGGAGCUAGUGAGCUGAGUGUGCUCUUCUUUUAAUUCUUGUAUGGAGCCUUGAACAGAAUUUUCUUGUGCUUGCAUGUUUUUCAAUCUAAGUAAUUCUCCUCUGUUGAUUAGCUGCUAAUUGCCUCAAUCCUUGUAGUUCAGAUUUUACUUCUUUGAGUAAAUUAGUGAGGUCAAGCACUCUAUCCCAGCAGACUCCUGAACUGAACAGUGUUUUGAUAAUAUUAUCUCCAAUAGACUUUAAUUGUCAUUUCUCAAGUCUGAGUGGAGGAUCUAAUGGCCUUUGGAUUGGAGGCUGACUGACUGGAGGCUCUCUUGGAGGUGCUUAAGUAGGGAUCCUUUUGCCUUUGAGUGGUGUAGGAGUGUCUUGACCACUUUCAUCUUGAAUUUCUUUCCCUUUAUGAGUCCAUUUUUCUUCAUUUUUGACAAAUCCCAUUCUUUUCAGUGAUUUGUCAUUGUAGACAUCUGAAGUUAGAAGCUCUUUCUUGGUCUCUCCAUCCAAGUUAAUGUUGAAAUAAAUGAAUACUAAUGUCAGAACCAUACCAUAAGGAUGUGAAGCUCCUUUUCUCUGUCCUUGAGCUUCCAUGUAUCUGAGCAUCAAGCAGGGUAGGUUCAGUGGGAGUCCUUGUAUAAUAUGAUGCAUUACUAGUAUAUCCCUUUCUGAAACCUGAUCAAAUUUUUCUGUCUUCGGGAAGAACAUCUUGUUGAUCAUGUGAUCCAGCAGACGCAUCUCUGCAUUUAGUUGAUUGACACUGAUUUCAGUCCAAUCUCCUGUGACUUCUCUAUUCAGAAUGGUACUUAUCCCUUCAUUUCUAUUCCCCAAAUGAUCUCCAUUCUCUCCAUCGUUUGGAAUCCGAAGAGCAUCUCUCAGAAUUUCUUCUGUAAUCAAGAUAGAGAUUUCUUUUACCUUGGACGAGAUCUGUCCUUGUCCAUAUCUGGCAUUGUUGUAGAACUCUCGUACCAAGUCUGGGAAGAUUGGCACAUUCAGGAAGCAAUAGUAUUCCCAACCCAUAUCCUUUAGAUUAUGCCCUAGUGGGAAGUUUUCCUUUUCCAAGAACUCGAAAUCCACUCUCCUUCCUGUGGAUACAUUUCUUAUGGAGAGAGGUCCUUGUUUCGAGACCGAGGAUGGAGGUGACAGAGGGGCUGUGACAGGUUGAGGCGGUGGCGUUGCUUGCCUUUGUGGAUUCAUCUCCUUUUCUGCCCUAGCCUUCGUUCUUCUCUCUGUGUGUGAAGUGGCAUUCUUCCUCUUAGGUCCGGAUGUCACUUGCUUUACCCUCACCAUUGGAAGAUCAAUCAGAACCUCGGAAAGAUUUUCUAGGGUUUUUGGAAGUUUUUGUUUGAAGAAUAGUUUGAAGACAAAAAAAGGCGCUCUAAGGGGUAUGAAACGUUUCAAAUUCAACGUUUCAGAGAGAGAGAGAAAGCUUUUUAGAAUCCAUUUCGAAUAAUUUCCUCUUCAGUCGACUUAUUCAACUCAUGAGUCAUCUCCUAUAGACUAGGAGUCGACUCUUUUAGCUUAAGAGUCGUCUCCUGCAAGUUAGGGGUCGACUCUUUUAACUUAAGAGUCGUCCCUUACUACAUGAGUCGACUCCUCAUUUAUAUGAGUCGUCUCCUCAGACUGUUCAAGAGACAAUCUUUUUUAAUAAGAUUCAAAAAUCAAUUGUAAACUACAAAUCAAAUCAACUAAAAUUCAACCAAUAAUAGUCAAUCAAAAUACAUGGUUUAUCAUUCAUAAUCUGUCAAUAAAAUGGAUCACAAAUGCAUAAUUCACCUCUAAAUUUACAAAAUACUUCUUCAUUAAGAGGUUUAGUAAAAAUAUCUGCAAUUUGUUUAUCAGUAUUUAUACAUUUCAUUUUUAUAUCCCCAUUUUGAGCAUGAUCUCUUAUGAAAUGAUGUCUGAUUUCUAUAUGUUUAGAUCUUGAGUGUUGUAUGAAAUUUUUAGUCAGAUUUAUGGCACUAGUGUUGUCACACCUUAUAGAAAUUUUAUUCUGUUUUAUGCCAUAGUCCUCAAGCUGUUGCUUAAUCCAUAGGAUUUGGGCACAGCAACUUCCUGCAGCAAUAUAUUCAGCCUCAGCUGUAGAUAGUGCUACGGAAUUUUGUUUCUUGCUAACCAAGAAAUUUAGUUUGUUCCAAGGAAUUGACAAGUUCCACUUGUACUUUUUCUGUCUAAUCUACAACCAGCAAAAUCAGCAUCUGAAUAUCCAAUCAAGUCAAUUGUAGAUGCCUUAAAAUACCAUAAACCUAAGUGUUGUGUUCCUUUUAAGUAUCUUAGUAUUCUUUUAACAGCAAUAAGGUGUGAUUCUUUAGGAUUUACUUGAUAUCUUGCACGCAUACAAACACUAUGCAUUAUAUCAGGUCUACUUGCUGUAAGAUAAAGUAAAGAUCCAAUCAUUCCUCUAUACAGCUUUGAAUCAAAGGAUUUACCAUGCUCAUCUUUUUCUAAUUUACAAGAGAAGCUUAUAGGAGUACCUAUUGAUUUUGAAUCUUCCAUACCAAACUUCCUUAAGAUUUCCUUUGUGUAUUUGCUUUGGCAGAUGAAGAUUCUAUCGCUUGUUUACUUGAUUUGGAGUCCAAGGAAGAAGUUGAGUUCACCCAUCAAACUCAUCUCGAACUUACCUUGCAUGAGCUUAGCAAAUUCUUCACAUAAACUUUCAUUAGUAGCACCAAAUAUAAUAUCAUCAACAUAUAUUUGAACAAUCAGAAUAUCAGAAUUUUUCUUUCUAAUAAACAGAGUUUUAUCAACAUUUCCUCUUGAAAAAUUACUCUUUAUUAAAAAGUUGCUUAACCUAUCAUACCAAGCUCUAGGAACUUGUUUCAAGCCAUAAAGUGCUUUGUUCAAUUUAAAAACAUGAUCUGGAAGUUUAUGAUUUUCAAAUCCAUGUGGCUGUUCUACAUAAACUUCUUCAGUUAUGAAACCAUUUAGAAAUGCACUUUUGACAUCCAUCUGAAAUAAUUUAAAAUUCAUGAAGCAUGCAAAUGCAAAUAAUAAUCUAAUAGCUUCAAGUCUAGCUACAGGUGCAAAAGUUUCAUCAAAAUCAAUUCUUUUUUCUUGAUUAUAUCCUUUAGCAACUAAUCUAGCCUUAUUUCUAAUUACAAUUCCAUCCUCAUUUAAUUUAUUUCUGAAAAUCCAUUUUGUUCCAAUUAUAGAAAUAUUUUCAGACCUUCUAACUAAAUUCCAAACAUUGUUUCUUUCAAAUUGAUUCAGUUCUUCCUGCAUUGCCAUUAACCAAUUGUUAUCUUUUUCAACUUCUUCAAAAGAUUUUGGUUCUAUUUGAGAAAUAAAUGCAAGAUGAUUACAAACAUCUCUAAUGGAGGAUCUAGUCAUAAUUCCUUGUGAAGGAUCACCAAUUAUUAGUUCUCUAGGAUGACUAUAUGCAUACCUCCAUUCUUUUGGUAGACUAGUUUUAUCAUUAAGCAUUUGAUCUUCUUUCUGAUUUUCAUCAUGCUCUAAUUUUCAGAUGCAGAUACAUCCUUUAGGGUCAAUUCUUUGGCUUGCUUAUUGAGUUCUUCUGCAUCAUCAUCGAGAUCUAAAUUCUUCCUUGAUGAAGGGUCAUUAGAUUAAUCAAAGAUAACAUGUAUUGACUCUUCUACGACUAGAGUUCUCUUGUUAAAUAUUCUAUAUGCUUUGCUUGAUGAAGAGUAUCCAAGAAAAAUAGCUUCAUCUGAUUUUGAAUCAAAUUUUUCCAAAUUGUCCUUACCAUUAUUUAAAACAAAACAGAUGCAACCAAAAACAUGAAAGUAUGAAAGAUUUGGUUUCUUAUUUUUCAAGAGCUCAUAUGAAGUUUUCUUUAGUAUUGACCUAAUAGUAACUCUAUUAAGAACAUGUCAAGCUGUAUUUAUUGCUUCAUCCCAAAAAUACUUUGGUAAAUCACUCUCACAUAACAUUGUCCUAGCCAUUUCAGUAAGUGUUCUAUUUUUUCUCUCUACAACACCAUUUUGUUGCGGUGUUCUUGGUGCAGAAAAAUUAUAAUCAAUACCAUUUUCAGUACAGAAAUUUUCAAAAUCAUGAUUUUUAAUUCAGUUCCAUGAUCACUUCUAAUCUUGAUAGUUUUCAGUCCAUAUUCAUUUGAAAUAUUUUUAUACAGUUUAGUGAAAGUUGAAAAUGCCUCACUUUUGUGUGCCAAGAAUAAAACCCAUGUAUACCUAGAAAAUCAUCCACAAUAACAAAGCCAUAAAGUUUUCCUCCUAGACUUACAGUUCUAGUUGGUCCAAAUAAGUCUAUAUGCAGAAGCUCUAAAAGCCUAUUUGUGGAGACAGCAUUUUUAGAUUUGAAGGAGGUUUUGGUCUGUUUUCCUAGUUGGCAUGCUGAGCAGAUUUUAUCUUUUUCAAAUGAUAAUUUAGGCAAGCCGAAAACAAGUUCUUUUUGGAUAAGUUUUGAAAUUAAGUCCAUGCUUGCAUGAGCUAAUUUUCGAUGCCACAACCAGCUGACUUCACUAUUUUUCAUUGCUACUAGACAGUCCAUGUUUUUCAUUAGUAUUUGAUCUAAAUCAACUACAUAUACAUUUCCAUGUCUAUAUCCAGUAAAUAUUAUACCACUGCCAUUACUACUAGAAACUAAGCAUAAUGAUGAUUCAAAAGUCACAAAAUAUCCUUUAUCAUAGAAUUGACUAAUGCUUAGCAAAUUAUGUUUCAAUCCAUCUACCAAUAAAACAUUUUCAAUAAAAGUAGUUGGUGUAAUCCGAAUGUUACCAAUACCAAUGAUUUUGCCUUUUUCAUUAUCACCAAAGGUAACCAUUCCCCCAUCUUUCUUUUUGAGGGACAUGAAUUGGGAUUCAUCCCGUCACGUGUCUAGAGCACCCACUAUCCAAGUACCAUUUUCUAUUUGAUGCUUGGGAUGCUAGACACACCUGCAAAACAGAAAUUCAAUUCUUUAUCUUUGGUACCUAAGUUUUCUUGGGUCCUUGAAUGUUAGCAAUGAUGGUUUCCUUCGGAACCCAUAUCUUUUUAAUUGAAAAAUUCUUCAUAAAACACUGACUUAUAGGAUUGUAAGUGGCAUAUUUCUGUUUCAGUUUGUCUAAUUUGAAUGGUACAGAUUUCGGUUGAACAUAAGUGGGUUUCACAAAAAUGUUUUUCAAUGAUUUCUAUUUCUUCUAAGGAUUAUAUCCUAAACCAGCUUUAUCAUAAACAGCUUUCUGACUUUCUAGAAUUAAAUUUAAUUUUUCAGAACUUAGGGUGAAUUUAUCAACAAUAGGUUUCAGUUUUUCAACUUCAUUAACUAACUUCUGAUUUUCUUCAUGCAGUUUCUUCUUAUUAUCCAGAAGCAGAGUAUUUUCUUUUUCUAAUGAUUGGUUCUUAAUCUUCAGUUCCUUGUUCUUUAAGCUAAGCUUUUUAUAUUCAAUCAUAAGCUCAGAAAAGCAUCUUGAAGCUCAUCGAAAGUGAAAUCAUAUUCAGUAUCAGAUAUACCUCAUUUUCGUGUCCCAUUGGACACAGAUUUGCAGCUUCUUGUUACUGUUCUUCUUCUCCAGAGCUGGAUUCAUCACUGUCACUCCAAAUAGCCAUCAUAGCUUUCUUCCUUAACCUCUUCGGAGCCUUCUUUAAUAGAGGACAGUCUGUUCUGAAGUGUCCAGGCUUUUUGCACUCAUAACAAACAUAUUGCUCCUUAUUUUCUUUGCUUUGCUCCCCCUUGAUUACAGACCUUUUCCUGAAAUUUUCUCUGUUUCUUCUGAAGAAUUUUCUGAACUUUCUUGUAAUCAGGGCCAUUUCCUCACUGUUAUCAGGUUCAGAAUCCUCACUCUCAUCCUCAUGCAGAGUGGAUUUAAGAGCGAUGGUUCUGCGCUUCUUGGGUUAAUCCUCCUCAAGGUUCUGUUUCAUUGAGAGCUCAUAAGUCAUUAAGAAACCCAGCAGUUCUUCCAGUGGGAGAGAGUUGAGAUCUUUGGCUUCUUGAAUGGCAGUGAUCUUUGCUUUCCAUGCUCUAGGAAGAGACCUAAGAAUUUUCCGAACAAGAUCACUGUUAGAGUAAGAUCUAACAAGGCUUUUCAGGCAGUUUAUAAUAUCAAUGAAUCUAGUAAACAUUUUAGUUAUAGAUUCACUGUUUUUCAUUCUAAAUAAUUCAUACUUAUACACUAGCAUACUGAUUUUAGAUUCUUUGAUCUAGGUAGUGCCUUCAUGUGUAACUUCCAGCCUAUCCCAGAUUUCUUUAGCAGUCAUGCAAAUAGAUAUACGAUUAAACUCCUUUGCAUCUAAAGAACAGUAAAAAACAUUCAUGGCUUUUGCAUUCAGUUGAGCCAUUCUUUUAUCAUGGUCAUCCCAUUCAAUCUCAGGUUUGAAUAAGGUGAUGCCAUCAACAAUUUUAGUUGGUGUGUGAGGUCCAUUAAUAAUAACAGUCCAUAAAUCAUAGUCAAGUGCUUGAAUAAAAAAUCUCAUACGAGCUUUCCAAUAAGUAAAAUUUGUGCCAUUGAAAAGAGGUGGUCUAUUGGUAGAUUGCCCUUCGGCAACAGAGGAUCCCAUAGUGGCUGCCACGACCUUUAACUCUUGAUUGUUAGAUCAAAAAAUUUCUUGGAGUACCAGGCUCUGAUACCACUUGUUGCCUAGAGGUGCAGCCCAAGAGGGGGGUGAAUUGGGUCUCUUUAAAAAAUAAUUAAAGUUAAAACAUAUGGAGAGUAUGAGUUACUGUUAUCUUAUUGAUUCAGCAGCGAAAAUAAAAUUGCACAAAUACGACAGUGAAUAAAGUUAAGAAAGCAGUCAGAAAUAUGCAGAGGAAAGGAAGAGAAGAACCACAAUCACAAACACCAAGAUUUAUAGUAGUUCGGUGCACUCCCAGCAUCUACGUCCACUCCUCAAGCCUAGCUUGAGAUUUCACUAUAACCCAGCAGAUUACAGCCUGAUUGUUUUCCGGGCUCACAAUCAACCCAGUUGGUUUUUCCAGGCAACUAACCGAAAACCUUUUGUUUUCCGGGAUCACAAACAACCCAAUUGGUUUUCAGAUAAACCAACCAAAAAUUUUACACCGUUUUUUUUUCCGGGCUCACAAACAACCCAGUUGGUUUUCAAUCAAACCAACCAAAAACUUUUUUCUUGCUGAAUAUUUCCGAUUCAGCAACUUCCAAUCAAGGCUUGGAAGAGCCUUUACAAGUUUCAGAUCAAUGAAACUAUUACAGCAGCAAUUAAUCCAACUAAAGAAUGUUGUAACUAGAAAACUUAAAGCUUCAGAGCAUAUAAAGAAUAAAUCAAUGAAAGUAAAAACUGAAGCCGAUGAAGAAGUUGGCUGUGGAAGGAUGUUCCAAUGUUCGAACAGCAGCUCUUCACGAUGCAGUGAGAAACUUCGACUGAUCUCCUCACAAGAGAAUGUUUCAUAUUACAAUGCUGGUGAGGAUGAUGAACUGUUAAGCUUUUCUUCUCUUUUUCUCAGUGAAAACCUUUUGUUUUCAAUAGAAUCUUUUUUCUUUCCUUUCUUUUUUUCAUUCUGAGGUUCCCUCGUAUUUAUAGACAGAUUCUUCGGCAGGAUUUGAAUUCCUUUCUUCCCGUUCUGAUGAGAAUCUUUUUCUGUUACAGAAGAAGACAAAAGUCGUUCACAGCUUUCCGUUGUAGUCCCAGCAGUACAAGGGUCGACUCAUAUAACUCAGGGGUCGACUCAUGUUCUUUCUAGAUCGACGCUUCAAAAUGUGGAGAAAGCUUUUGCUGUGUCAUCUUCAAAGGGUCGACUCUUAAUUCUUAAGAGUCGGCUCAUCUUCAUCAGGAGUCGCCUCUUUAAACACAAGGGUCGACUCAUCAUUUUCAGGAGUCGCCUCUUUAAAUGCAAGAGUCCACUUAUACCAUAAUUUUUCGGCUGUCACUUAAACUAAACUGGGGUCGACUCUUCAAACGCAAGGGUCGACUCUUCAAUUUUGGGGGUCGACUCAUUUUGAACAAGGGUCGACUCUUCAAGCUUCUCUCGGGCGGUAAAAGCUUUCUGUUUACUUUAAACUACACAAGAAUCGACUCAUGUUUUGCAGAGGUCGACUCAUUGACUGUGUUCUUUGAAUAAAACUUAUCAGAAUCAACUUAAACUUGUCCUUUUUACUUAGGGGUUGAUUCAAGUUUUUCAAAUAGAAAACUUUAAACUUCAUCUCUGAUCUCCAUGGAUUAGAUUAUGAUCAUUUUCUUUUGGAACAUAUCCAAUGAGAUGUUUGCGAAGAAUUUAUGAUUUUGCAGUGCUUCAUUCCUUCUGAUUUUUUUGACUUAGAAAUCUUCACAAUUAGGCUAAUGUCAUUAGUACACAACAUGAUCUCAAGUAUUUUGUAAUCAUCAAAAUUCAUCCUUUAGAGUUGACAAAAGUCUUUAAAAGACAUACUAUACAGUGCCACUCUACUGCAUAAAAAAAUCACUUGCACCAACUUGGCAUUGGUAUGACAUGUCAUGAUUUGACCAAGCCUCAAAAAUUGCACCAGCCUCCCUAAGUCGCAUCAAUUCCCCUCUACCAUGUAGCAUAAGGAACCUUUUCUAUGACAGAGCAUAGGCUCCCACAGCUUUACUCUUUCAUAAGAUAGGAGUAAAUGAAAUAAUAAAGAAGUACUACAAUACCAGAUUACACACUAAAAAACAAAAAGAUUAAAACAAACUGAAAACUGGAUAUUUAGAAACAGGGAAAACACUGAACUUGUGAAAGUAAAUAUAAAACUAAAGUCUUAAGCUAAAGGAUGCACACUAUCACAUGAAAAGUUCCAUUGCACCUGCAUGGCAUUGGCAUAGCACAUCAUCAUUUGACCAAUCCCUUAGAAAUUGCACCAGCCUCCCACUCUCCCAGUGCAUCAAUGUCCAUCUAUCAUGUUGCAUAAGGAACUUUUUCUAUGACAGAGCAAAGCCCAAAGCAUUCUCUUUAAAAAAAAAUUAACAAAAUAAAAUGAAACUCAAACAAACAUUUAAAAUUAUGGGUAUAAUUCACAUAUAUAGCAUCAGAUAACAGAACUAAAAAAUCAAAAAGUAAAACAAAAUAGAACAAUCAAUAUAUGAGAAAAACAAAGGAAAAUGAAAUAAAAACAGAAAAAAUACAAAGCUGAAUUCGUGGAAGG
rnacentral:lncRNA from 1 species